rnacentral:lncRNA from 1 species
CUCGAAAGGAUAAAGAACUGAGAUGAAAACUUACAAGGUAGAAUAACAAGUCCAGUUGAGUGCCAACUUCAAAAUUUUAGAACCAUUUUAUUGAUUGCAGGAAUGAAAAGGCAAUCUAACUUUGUUUUCCAAGCUGAUUCAGCCCAGUUCUUUGCCAAGUUCUAAAUUUUUUUAAAUAUCAUCAAGAAAGAACACCAUAAGUCAUAACCACAUUCCUCCCUGGGUGAAAGGAGAGGGGUAAAAGGAAGUUUUAUUUUAUCGCAUAGAAUUAUCACCUGGGACAGGAAAAAGUCGAAAGUGUUAAUUCAAAUAACUUUUCUAGUCCCCGACAAGACUGUACCAAAUGGUAAUGCAUCUAGUAAUCAAACAUGCAAUCUAAAAAACAUACAAGGAUACUAGUCUACUAUUGUUGGAUGAAAGAAGGGUUUACUAAUUUUGAUUGGCUAAGGCUUUUAAGGAGGACAACACUAAUAGGGAGAAGGAAGUGAACAAAAGGAAACUUGUAUUUCUCAACUUCAAAACUUACACACUUU